AGCUGCUAAGGUUGUAAUUCUACAGAACCAGCACAUCACAGACUCCCUCUGAAAUCACCAGCUAUUUCAGAGAAAGAAGAUGACAGAGAAGCUGGCCUACAGCUGGGAAUUUCAGAUCAGGCAGAAGAUAAUACUGGAGUGAUAACAGCAACAACAACCAAGCACAGUCAUCUUUUUUGCAUCUAAAGUUCUGAGAACUUUUAUGAUUUUGUUACCACCAGAAGUAGGAAUAUUCUCAGGAAGACACAUGACUUCUUCAGAGGACAAGCACAGCUCAGUACCAAUGAGAUGGAAGGCUGCAUGUCCAGACUAGAGAAACUGGAAUCAGGCAGUGAAGGCAAAACUUGAUACUGAGAUCAACCUGGAUGCAUGGCAAUUCAAUCCCAGUUGCAGCCUAACCUGACUUUGGAGGCACAACACCCAAAGCAGAGGCAGCUCCAGUUAAAAGUGCAAAAAUAGUGCCUAAAUUUGAGCAAGCAAAUCUGCAGGGAAUGAGACUUAGCUAUCACAACAUGCUCCAAAUCACUGUGUCUUACUUUCUGAUAUUACUUCAUGUUGUCUGUCAAAUACUGAGUUGGCACUACUGGACUGAUUGCUCCCAAAAUGUGUUUCCUCACAUUUCUAGUAAAAUCAAAUUUAAGCAACAGCUCCACUAGCUUUAAAAGCUAGUAGAGAUCUACUAGUUGAUUUGCGGCAAUCAAAGAUCUGCAGCCUCCCCUCAGUCCCUCACAUAAACCAGUGGCCUGAAAAACACCCUUUUUCACUGUAGGAAGGAGUCUUUUCUGAUGAGACAUGUAUGUGUAAUGCAGCCACACAGUUUAGGUGUGUGGAAGCCUCAAGGCUCUAAUGUU